UCAUGGCCGGCAGCUACACAUGCAGUCGAACGGUAGCACAGAGAGCUUGCUCUCGGGUGACGAGUGGCGGACGGGUGAGUAAUGUCUGGGAAACUGCCUGAUGGAGGGGGAUAACUACUGGAAACGGUAGCUAAUACCGCAUAACGUCGCAAGACCAAAGAGGGGGACCUUCGGGCCUCUUGCCAUCAGAUGUGCCCAGAUGGGAUUAGCUAGUAGGUGGGGUAACGGCUCACCUAGGCGACGAUCCCUAGCUGGUCUGAGAGGAUGACCAGCCACACUGGAACUGAGACACGGUCCAGACUCCUACGGGAGGCAGCAGUGGGGAAUAUUGCACAAUGGGCGCAAGCCUGAUGCAGCCAUGCCGCGUGUAUGAAGAAGGCCUUCGGGUUGUAAAGUACUUUCAGCGGGGAGGAAGGUGUUGUGGUUAAUACCCUCGCCCAUUGACGUUACCCGCAGAAAAAACACCGGCUAACUCCGUGCCAGCAGCCGCGGUAAUACGGAGGGUGCAAGCGUUAAUCGGAAUUACUGGGCGUAAAGCGCACGCAGGCGGUCUGUCAAGUCGGAUGUGAAAUCCCCGGGCUCAACCUGGGAACUGCAUUCGAAACUGGCAGGCUAGAGUCUUGUAUAGGGGGGUAUAAUUCCAGGUGUAUCCCUGAAAUGCGUAUAGAUCUGGGGGAAAAACCUGGGGAAAAGUGCCCCCUGUACGAACACAAGGACUCCAGGCGGAAGGGUGUGGAGGAGACAGGGGGGAUAUAA
rnacentral:rRNA from 1 species